rnacentral:rRNA from 1 species
AACGAACGCUGGCGGCAUGCCUAACACAUGCAAGUCGAACGAAGCCUUCGGGCUUAGUGGCGCACGGGUGCGUAACGCAUGGGAAUCUGCCCUUUGGUUCGGAAUAACAGUUGGAAACGACUGCUAAUACCGGAUGAUGACGAAAGUCCAAAGAUUUAUCGCCAGAGGAUGAGCCCGCGUAGGAUUAGCUAGUUGGUGUGGUGAAGGCGCACCAAGGCGACGAUCCUUAGCUGGUCUGAGAGGAUGAUCAGCCACACUGGGACUGAGACACGGCCCAGACUCCUACGGGAGGCAGCAGUGGGGAAUAUUGGACAAUGGGCGAAAGCCUGAUCCAGCAAUGCCGCGUGAGUGAUGAAGGCCCUAGGGUUGUAAAGCUUUUUUACCCGGGAUGAUAAUGACAGUACCGGGAGAAUAAGCCCCGGCUAACUCCGUGCCAGCCGCCGCAGUAA